UCUUUAUUAGUAUUUACUUCAUCUAUGAUGCUUUGUAGACUUUGUUUGUUGGUUCUUAAGUCAUCUUUUAGCCUGUCUACAAUUUGUCUGAGAGUAUUCAAUUCUUCAUUAUGGCUUGCAAUGCUUUGUUUGUUAACAUUCAAAUCAUUUGUGUAGAUUUUAAUGUUUCGCCUGCUAGUUUCUAGGUCGUCUUUAAUGAUGUUAAUAUUUUGACUGUUAGAGUCCAAUCCAUCUUUUAUGCUUUUG